UGGUUGAUUCUGCCAGUAGUCAUAUGCUUGUCUUAAAGAUUAAGCCAUGCAUGUCUAAGUAUGAACACUUUGUACUUGUGAAACUGCGAAUGGCUCAUUAAAUCAGUUAUAAUUUAUUUGAUGGUCUCUUUUUACUACUUGGAUAACCAUGGUAAAUCUAGAGCUAAUACAUGCAUAAAAUCUUAACUGGUCAUUCGUGAUCGGGAGGGAUGUAUUUAUUAGAUUCAAAAGCCAAUGCCGUCUCUUUCGGGAGAUGGAAAUUCUUUCAAUGGUGAUUCAUGAUAACUUUACGAAUCGCAUGGCCUUUUCGUGCCGGCGAUAGUUCAUUCAAAUAUCUGCCCUAUCAACUUUCGAUGGUAGUUUAGAGGACUACCAUGGUGUUAACGGGUAACGGAGAAUCAGGGUUUGAUUCCGGAGAAGGAGCCUGAGAAACGGCUACUACUUCCAAGGAAGGCAGCAGGCGCGCAAAUUACCCAAUCCCGACACGGGGAGGUAGUGACAAAAAAUAACAAUACCGAUCUCAAUACGAGUUUGGUAAUUGGAAUGAGUACAAUCUAAAACCUUUAACGAGUAUCAAUUGGAGGGCAAGUCUGGUGCCAGCAGCCGCGGUAAUUCCAGCUCCAAUAGCAUAUAUUAAAGUUGUUGCAGUUAAAAAGCUCGUAGUUGGAUUUUGAAGUUUAUUCGUUAUGACCCGCCCUAUUUUGGGGUGUGUUUUGUCGUGGCGAGUACUUCUCCUUUACUAGACUUUCACUAUUGCACUUAACUGAGUGAUAGUUUCAUUUCGAUUUAUCGGGAUGAGUGGUGAGCAGACCUAUUGGAUUAGGAUUGUGGAUGAGUCGUCUCUUCGGAGGAGUCUUGUUCUGCCUGAUUCAAUAACUGUUUAUUAGAAAUCUAGUUCUUUUACUUUGAGUAAAUUAGAGUGUUCAAGGCAAGCAAUUAUUUUAAAAUUCUGCAAUGAAUACUAUUAGCAUGGGAUAAUGAAACAGGACACGUAUUCUAGUUUUUCGUUGGUUUCUAGAAUUUUUACAAAUUUUUUCAAAUUUAGUGUAAUGAUUAAAAGGGACAGUUGGGGGCAUUCGUAUUUCAUUGUCAGAGGUGAAAUUCUUGGAUUUAUGAAAGACGAACUUCUGCGAAAGCAUUUGUCAAAGAUGUUUUCAUUAAUCAAGAACGAAAGUUAGGGGAUCGAAGACGAUCAGAUACCGUCGUAGUCUUAACCAUAAACUAUGCCGACCAGGGAUUGGAAGACGUAUUAUCCUGUUUUUAAUCAAGCAGGAAAACUCCUUCAGUACCUUACGAGAAAUCACAAGUCUUUGGGUUCUGGGGGGAGUAUGGUCGCAAGGCUGAAACUUAAAGGAAUUGACGGAAGGGCACCACCAGGAGUGGAGCCUGCGGCUUAAUUUGACUCAACACGGGAAAACUUACCAGGUCCAGACACAGUUAGGAUUGACAGAUUGAGAGCUCUUUCUUGAUUCUGUGGGUGGUGGUGCAUGGCCGUUCUUAGUUGGUGGAGUGAUUUGUCUGGUUAAUUCCGAUAACGAACGGGACCUCAGCCUGCUAAUUAGUAAUGCGAAUGAUCACAUCCUUCUAUGGGGAGGGUUCUAACUGUAAGCUUGGGGGCAACUCUGAGAUUCGGUUGGAAAACUCGUUUUCAUUCGUCAGAAUGACUGCGAUUUCGAUCAAAGUUAUUCGUUAAUAACUUCUUAGAGGGACACUUGGUGUUUAACCAAGGGAAGUUUGAGGCAAUAACAGGUCUGUGAUGCCCUUUAGAUGUUCUGGGCUGCACGCGCGCUACACUGAUACGAUCAACGAGUACUGAAAAACCUCGACCGAAAGGUUGGGGUAAACUUUUGAAAUCGUAUCGUGCUGGGGAUCGAUAAUUGCAAUUAUUUAUCGUGAACGAGGAAUUCCUAGUAAGCGCAAGUCAACAGCUUGCGCUGAUUACGUCCCUGCCCUUUGUACACACCGCCCGUCGCUCCUACCGAUGUUUGGUCCGGUGAAAUCUUAGGAUUCGUGACAUACACUCGUCAGCUCUUUCGGGGGAAGAUGAGUUUGUUGUGGAGAAUUUGAGUAAACCUUGCCAAAUAGAGGAAGGAGAAGUCGUAACAAGGUAUUCGUAGGUGAACCUGCAGAAGGAUCA
rnacentral:rRNA from 1 species